AGUGAACGCUGGCGGUAGGCCUAACACAUGCAAGUCGAACGGCCGCACAGUAAGAGCUUGCUCUUACGGGUGGCGAGUGGCGGACGGGUGAGGCAUACAUCGGAAUCUACUUUUUCGUGGGGGAUAACGUAGGGAAACUUACGCUAAUACCGCAUACGACCUACGGGUGAAAGCAGGGGAUCUUCGGACCUUGCCCGAUUCAAUGAGCCGAUGCCGGAUUAGCUAGUUGGUUGGGUAAAGGCCCACCAAGGCGACGAUGCGUAGCCGACCUGAGAGGAUGAUCGGCCAAACUGGAACUGAGACACGGGCAAGACUCCUACGGGAGGCAGCAGUAGGGAAUCUUCCGCAAUGGGCGAAAGCCUGACGGAGCAACGCCGCGUGAGUGAUGAAGGUCUUCGGAUAGUAAAACUCUGUUAUUAGGGAAGAACAAAUGUGUAAGUAACUAUGCACGUCUUGAAGGUACCUAAUCAGAAAGCCAAGGAUAAAUACGUG
rnacentral:rRNA from 1 species